GCUGGGCACAGUAAUGUAUGCCUGUAAUCCCAGGGACUCAGGAGGCUGAGGCAGGAGGUUUGCAAGUUUGAGACCAGCCUCAGCAAUUUAUCGAGGCCCUGUCUCAA
rnacentral:sRNA from 1 species